AUUGAACGCUGGCGGCAGGCCUAACACAUGCAAGUCGAGCGGAUGAAGGGAGCUUGCUCCCGGAUUCAGCGGCGGACGGGUGAGUAAUGCCUAGGAAUCUGCCUGGUAGUGGGGGAUAACGUCCGGAAACGGGCGCUAAUACCGCAUACGUCCUGAGGGAGAAAGUGGGGGAUCUUCGGACCUCACGCUAUCAGAUGAGCCUAGGUCGGAUUAGCUAGUUGGUGGGGUAAAGGCCUACCAAGGCGACGAUCCGUAACUGGUCUGAGAGGAUGAUCGGUCACACUGGAACUGAGACACGGUCCAGACUCCUACGGGAGGCAGCAGUGGGGAAUAUUGGACAAUGGGCGAAAGCCUGAUCCAGCCAUGCCGCGUGUGUGAAGAAGGUCUUCGGAUUGUAAAGCACUUUAAGUUGGGAGGAAGGGCAGUAAGUUAAUACCUUGCUGUUUUGACGUUACCAACAGAAUAAGCACCGGCUAACUUCGUG
rnacentral:rRNA from 1 species